GGGAAAAAGAAAGGAGAGGGCGUUCCAAAGAGGGGGGUGGCGGAGGAGAAGCGGGAAGUCCAUUUCACCAUUUUUUUUUCUGAUUCCAGGUAUGACUUCAAUCCGCUUUGCGCUUCUCGUUAUGAACUGUUCUUUUCUGUUUCUCAUUGUUCAUGGUUCAUGAUGCUUGAAGACUACAUGCAUUUCUCUGUUCUGGAACGCUUCAAAUAAAGAUCCAUUGCUGCUCUUGUUUUUUUUUUUAAAUAAAUCUUCACAGUCUCACCUUUCUCUCAUUUUUCUCUCCUUUUCUCUCUGCCCAAACAUCCUUUCCCGUGGUUCUCUUCUUUUUUUCUUUUUUUUUCUUUCUUUUUCUUUCCUUCUCUCUCCGUCUCCAUGGAAAGCCACUCACCU
rnacentral:lncRNA from 1 species